rnacentral:rRNA from 1 species
CCUACGGGUGGCAGCAGUCGAGAAUCAUUCACAAUGGGGGAAACCCUGAUGGUGCGACGCCGCGUGGGGGAAUGAAGGUCUUCGGAUUGUAACCCCCUGUCAUGUGGGAGCAAAUUCAAAAGAUAGUACCACAAGAGGAAGAGAUGGAUAACUCUGUGCCAGCAGCCGCGGUAAUACAGAGGGCUCAAGCGUUGUUCGGAAUGAGUGGGCGUAAAGCGUGCGGAGGCGGUGUCGUAAGUCGUGUGUGAAAGGCGCGGGAUCAACCCGCGGACGGCACGUGAUACUGCCAGGCUAGAGUGAUGGAGGGGGAAGCGGAAUUCGCGGUGUAGCAGUGAAAUGCGUAGAUA